rnacentral:rRNA from 1 species
CCCUUAGAUGUCCUGGGCCGCACGCGCGCUACACUGAGUGUCUGAGAUACGAGUCUGCCUGGUCCGGCAAGGUCUAGGUAAUCGCUAAAAGACACAUCAUGCUUGGGAUAGAUUAUUGCAAAUAUUAAUCUUGAACGAGGAAUUCCUAGUAAGCGCAAGUCAACAGCUUGCGUUGAUUACGUCCCUGCCCUUUGUACACACCGCCCGUCGCUACUACUAAUUGGAUGUUUAAGCGAGGUUCUCGAACUGCUAGCGACUUAGCUUCGGUGAGGUCGCAGUGUGGGAAGUGAACCUAGCUUUGGUGUCUAGAGGAAGUAAAAGUCGUAACA